UUUAAAUAAAUUUCAAUAGUUUUUCUGAUUGUCUAAUAUUAUUUAUUUCACGAAGGUGCAUACAAAUGUAAUUAAAAAUCAUGGUCCACUUCAAGACCUGCAAAUAUGGAUACCUGGAAACAUCCUACGGUUAUCAGAUUGGAUGAACGCGGAUGGCCCUUCGGUUCAUGAACCCUUAUGUCUUCAUAUCUUAGUAGGAUUCAAAGUUGAAGGAAGAAAAUAUGUCCCUAGAGAUGAUUAGAGCGUUUUUAGCAUAAGCAACAACAACAGUCAUGGGUCAACGGGUCUUACUCCUAUCUGCACAAAGAAGCUAUUUGUUGGAGGUAUAGCAUCCACAGUUACCGAGAGUGAUUUUAAGAAUUACUAUGAUCAAUAUGAUAUUUGCAAACUUCAUACACUCAAAGCUUGACUGAAAUUUACUUUUAUUCUCAUCUCAUAGGUAAUUUUUCAAUUGAGUUUGUAUUUGUAAUUUUAUCUGCAACACUAAAAAGAGUUUGAAGUUUAAAACCUCCAUGGAUGCUUCUAAAGAGCAAGUAAUUGAUGCUAUGAAGAAGUUAUCUUCGCAUAUCAACAACCCUGUAAAAUUUAGCAAGACUACACAGUUUUCCAUUCAGUUGAUUAAUUUAGAAAGUGUUAAGUCUUCCAUUAGUGUUUUUUUUGUUGUGAUAUUAGAAGAUGCAAUGUUGUCGCCCAAACCUUGUACGGAUCCUUCCAUGUGGGCAGAUUAUCAUUCUUUGUUCUCAGCAGCGCAAGAUGCGAAAGAAGUAAGUUUAACAUUUGUUCAAAUUAUUCAUAGUUUUUGCAAUUGUUUUUUAGUAAAUAUUUUGUUGACAAUGUUUUGUAUUUAUUUGUAGCACUUAAAUAAGAAGCAGAAAAAUUAAUUUCCCUCGUGGAUAAUUAGUGUUGUGGUAGAAAAUGAUUUAUAUAAAGAGUUAGUCUCUCUAUAGCUACUUCCUGAUCUACUUUCAAAUAGAAACUCAAACCUUGUACUUCUUUCUGCUUCAUAAACAAUGGCUAUGUAUGUAUAGUCUUUUGCAGUGAAGUGCUUCUAAAUCAUAUGUUUGAAUAGUUAACUAUUUGUUUAUUGGUAACAUUGUCAGCUUUGGUUGUGUGAAUAUUCCAAUUGUUUUAGGCAUGAUAGUUCUCAUUAUUUUACUUUGUAUGAUAUUGUAUUAUAGUGUUCAUAGAAAAAUAACUUUAAAAAGAGAGAUGGAAAGUUCAUUGGUCUUAUCAGGUGCUCCGGUGAAUUUUACUUUCCACGAUUUGCAAAUCAAGACAAGCAAUUUUUCGCAACUUAUAGGAACAGGUGGAUUUGGAUGUGUGUAUAAAGGAAGCUUAGGAGAUAGUACCUUAGUGGCGAUGAAGAAACUUGACAAGAUUUUUCCUUAUGGAGAAAAAUAAUAUAUUACUGAAAUAAACAUGAUUGGCUCAAUGCAUCUUAUGAAUUUGGUUCGUCAGAGCCUUUUAGUUUACAAGUUCAUGAAGAACAGUUCAUUAGAUCAGUGGAUCUGCCCUUCGAUUCGAGGGUGAGAUAGAUGGCUUGGUAGGAUAAGAUUGCUCUCACUCCUUAUUGACCAUUCAUGACACGCGGGGUUAAAAUAGAAUAGUAGUGGUAAUGGCUGGAAAUAUAGUGAGGGGCUUAGGCUUUGAAGUCUAUGAUCGGCUUUGGCGGUGUUUGCGUGAUUCGAGGUGCUGCUUCAUAAGGAUUACUACUUAAGGAGUAGCAUGAUAUUGGUGCAUGAGUAAGACAUGUCCCAAUUUGUUGAGAUUCAUGAGUCACGACAAAGCAUUUUUGAUCAUUGACAUUAGAGCCGUUACCGACAACAUCCCACCUGAUUUAUAUCUUAGAAAUAUUGUCGAGUUCUUCGAAAAAACGAGAGUCUUCUAUUGAAAUGAUGCUCAUAUGUCACCAUAAAUCACAACAGCUACAACAGCUAUAUCGACACAACAACAUGCAGAUUUCAGCCACUAGUAAUGUUUAGAAACAUCAUUUGACAGCUUCAAGUGAGUGGAAAUUCAGCCUCAAAGCAACAACAUUCCAAGGAGACUCAAAUCCAAGUCGGUGUGCCUGCUUGGCAUUGACACCCAGAGAGAUAUAAAUGACACAAGAAAAAGGAUCAUGAUUUUGCCAUUAGAAUGCCAAACUUCAGUAUUUUGGGUGUGCUAAAACAUUUACACAUCACUCACUUACCCAAGUUCAUUUUUUGUA